rnacentral:sRNA from 1 species
UGUGAAAUGAUGACGACCCUUACAUGAAGAAAAAGAAAGUGGCAAGAAAUAGCAGUGAACCUGACUUGGUUAUAUUAGCAUAUGAUGACACACUGUUGCGGCCAAGGGGUUCUUUCAUGUUCUCUAACAAAGACUGGAUCCAGGCUUGUACAAGAUAACAACAUUUUCCUCUCGAAUGGAUAGCAAUGUAUCCUCUAGAAUAAAAUCCACACAGACUGUCUCUCAUGCAGCAUUAACAGGCCCAGUAUAUGCCUGGUGGAAUGACUCCAAAGCAGGCUUGAAAUGAGGCAGCACACCAGUCAGGAGACGCUUGCUGCAGAAUGUUGGAAGGAGCAACCAAGGAACUGGAGCUCAACAUCUCUUGCUGGCAUUGGAGAGACCACCGAUAUCCAACCAAGUUGGCAUAUACUGGAUAAAGUGGGAGUGAAGGCCGGGAAAUGAGAGGAAGCGAUGUAAGGAGUGACAGCGUCGUAAAGCUCCAGGUCGUUUCUGCAAUCGUGGGGUUCUUCUGUCCUCAUCUUCUCACUUAGCCAUCCUAGCCAAAGCCACCCACCAGGAUCUACGUGGGACCAGGAAUGUAACCCUAGCGUUUGGUUUCCCAGGCCAUCAGGAGAUAAGACGGCCCAUCACCCAGAAAAUAAAGCUUCCCGCCUGCAGUUGCAGAAAUUACAACUAAUUAUAUGCUCCAUGCUUCCUGGGAAAGAUAUAUAUUUCAAGCUGCCGGGCUGACUUUUUCCCUCGGCUGUAUUUAAAGGUUAGUUUCUGACCUGCUUCCUGGUUUAAUGGAGUAGUUUAAAUAUUACAAAUCGUUACUUGAUUCUAAUGAAUUAUAUCUCCCCUGGCAACUCACAAAAUCCUUAUCG